rnacentral:rRNA from 1 species
UGGAGUAAAACUUAUAAAAGACGACCUCAGUUCGGAUUGAAGGCUGAAAUUCGCCUUCAUGAAGUCGGAAUUGCUAGUAAUGGCAGGUCAGCAUACUGCCGUGAAUACGUUCCCGGGCCUUGUACACACCGCCCGUCACACCAUGAGAGUUGGGAAUGCCCGAAGCCUGUGAGCUAACUUUUAGAGGCAGCAGUCGAAGGUAGAAUCAAUGAUUGGGGUGAAGUCGUAACAAGGUAAC